ACUUGAAAUUUUCGACAACUCACCUCUCUCCCUCACACACAUUUUCGCCCAACACACACUCAUCUCCUUCAUCUCUCAUUUCCACCAUUUUCCUCCAUUGAUGAAAACCUUCGAAGCUUCCAAAAAUAUUACCAAACACCUCAAACCACUCUAAUAUCUUCCAUAAACACAUUCUAGCCACUUUUAAUCAAGAGAAUCCUUGAAGAAGAGCUCCAAAGUUAGAGUGAGAAAGUGUGAAUUUUGGUAAGAAUUUGGGUAAGUGGCCAUGUUUUUCUAUAAUUCUUGAUUGAAGGAUGUUGUAUGUGUGUAUUCUUGAAAGAUGAAGCAAGAAAAUCACCCCCUCCCUAUUUCCUUAAUUUUCGAAAAAAAUGGGUCUUCACCCCUUCAAAAAAUUUUCUUUUUCUUUUCUUGAUUUGGGGUGAAAAAUGAGAGUUAUGUGAUGAGUAUUGAUGAUUGAGGUAUGUUGUGAAAUAUGUGCCUUGAGAUGUGAAACUUUGAUGGAAGUUAGUUUACCCAAAAAUGGGAACUUUUGAGUCAAAGAGUUAAAUGAUGAAUUGAUGAUGUAAAUGAGUCCAUGAGAUGUAUAUGAUGAUGAUUGAUGGAGUAAUUUGAGUAUAUGAUGUCAAUUGAUGAUUUUGAUGUGAGUUAGUUUACAAAAAUUAGGGAUAUGUGUAUAUAUGCCCUUAUAUGUAAAUUGAUGGUUUAUAUGUAAGAUUAAUUGGUUAAAAAUGAAAAAUAUAUGAAUAGAUUAAAGAUUCAUAUGUGUUUUUAAAUUUUUCAAAGAGUUUAGUUUAGUAAAAAUUAGGACUUUUUGGUCUAUGUGUUAUUUAAGUGAUUUUGCUUAAGAUAUAUGUUUUUAAGCAUAAUAGUAGUGUCUUUGUAUAUUUGAUUAAGUCUAUUGUAGGCUAAAUAAAAUUUUGGCUUAGUUUAGUUUGUAUGAGUUUUGAGUUCUUGUAUGAUGUGAGUUUGAUGCUUGAUAAAAUGAGGUCUAAUUGCUCUAUGAUCAUUAUGUGAACUUUAUCCAUGUUUUGUUGAGAGUUUUAUGAUGAUACAUGGAUUUUCAUUAAAAUAUAGUUUACAUGAUAAAAAGAGAAUGAAUAUGUGAAUAAUGAGUUAUAUGAUGUAAAAGAUCAUAUUUGAGUAUUUGAGUAAAUUCGAGCAUGAAAUUGAAAAGAGAAUUUGUUUGAUGCGUUCGUUGAAGUGUUUCUAUGAGAUUUGAGUUGAUGAUGAAAGAAAAGAGUCGAGAUUGAGUAUUAUGAGUAUUUUGUUGAAAUUGAAUGUUUUUAAGUGCUACAAGUGCUUAAAAUGAGCUUUGAUGAGUUUGCUUGGUUUAAAUGUUGAGUUGAGCAUGUUUGCUUGUGUGUAUGAUUCGGAGUCGUUUUUCACGACGCACUGACAUACUGUUUCGAGGGGUUUUUGAUACCCAAACACCCUAAAAAUUUUAUGGUAAGUAUAUUUGAGAGUCCUGAGCAUACCGGUAAAAUUUCAAGUCAUUUGGACUUCGUUUGCUAUUUUUAUAAAAUGUAAGACUAAAACUGCUACGUUCUGCCGAAUUGUUCGGUGAGUAGCCAUUAGAGUCACCUUUUCCAGUAGCUUUCCUUAUCAUUCUGGAACCCAAAUGUUUAUUUUUGAGACCUGAGUGUCUUAGAUAAGUACCCACCAAAUUUCAGACCUUUUUGACAACGUUUACUAUUUUUCACAAAUCAAACUUUUCGGUUGCUAAAAACUGCCGAAUAUGGUAGACUGUUGUAAAACAGNCACUGAGCAUUACACCUGACUUACGAACGAGAAUAGUCACAGCUCAGAGAGAGGAUGAGAAGAUGGAAAAGUUACGAAGAAGAUUCGAACUGAAAAAGUGGAGAAUUAUCAAGAGGCGGCAGAUAAUGCCAUUUUGUUGAAGGAAGACUGUGUGUGCCCGAUAAAAAAGGAGCUGAAGAAUGAAAUCAUGAGUGAAGCUCAUGACACCCCUUAUACCGCACACCCAGGAAGUACGAAGAUGUACCAAGACUUGAAAACGAAGUUUUGGUGGGAAGGAAUGAAGCGAGAGAUAGCGUCUUUCGUUGAAAGAUGUCUAGCCUGUCAGCAAGUGAAAGCGUUACACCAACGACCCUAUGGCAAGUUACAGCCAUUGGAAAUUCCAGAGUGGAAAUGGAGUGAUAUAGCCAUGGACUUUGUGACAGGACUGCCAAAGUCAAAAAGAGGAAAUACCGCUAUUUGGGUAGUUAUCGAUCGAUUGACGAAGAGUGCACAUUUCAUACCGAUUCAGAUUACUUAUGGAUCUGACAAGUUAGCUCAGAUUUAUAUCCGAGAGAUAGUGCGAUUGCAUGGAGUACCGAAGACGAUCACAUCAGAUCGAGACUCGAAGUUUACUUCACGAUUUUGGAUGAGCAUGCAGAAAGAGUUGGGUACUAAAUUAAAUUUUAGUACAGCGUUUCAUCCGCAAACAGACGGACAGUCCGAGAGGACUAUUCAGGUUUUGGAGGACAUGAUCCGAACUGUAGUGCUUGAUAGAGGAAGCCAAUGGGAGCAAGUUUUACCCCUGAUCGAGUUUGCUUACAAUAAUAGUUUUCAGUCAACUAUCAACAUGGCCCCAUACGAAGCCUUGUAUGGAAGGAAGUGUAGAUCUCCGCUUUAUUGGGAUGAAGUUGGAGAGAGAAAGGUACUUGGACCUGACGCGAUAGAAGAGAUGAUCACUAUUGUGAGACAGAUUCGACAGAGAAUAAAAGAGGCACAAGAUCGUCAGAAAUCUUAUGCAGACACCAGAAGGACGGAGAUUCUUUUGACGUUGGAGACAACGUUUUCUGUAAGUUCUCCCUAUCUUGGGGAGUGUAUCGUUUUCGAAUAAAGGAAAGUUCAAACCGAGAUAUAUAGGACCUUAUGAUAUAUUAGAGAAGGUAGGCCCUGUAGCCUAUAAACUAGCGUUGCCUCCGAGCUUCGCGAACGUCUAUGACGUUUUCCAUGUUUCUCAAUUGAGAAAGUACAUGUUUGAUCCAAAACACGUCAUCCAUCAAGAAGAAGUAUCCCUGGAAUCAGAUUUGAGCUAUGAAGAGAGACCUGAUGCUAUUUUGGACCGGAAGAUCCAACAAUUGAGGAACAAGUCGAUUCCUUUGGUGAAAAUCCAAUGGAGACAUCACGGUCAAGAAGAAUCAACAUAGGAACUUGACGAGAAGAUGAAAGAGAAGUAUCCAGAUCUUUUUCCCGAAGAUGAAUAACUCAAAUUUCGGGACGAAAUUUUUUUUAAGGGGGGUAGGAUGUAACACCCCGUACUUUUCCUUAUGUUGUGAUAUAGUGUCUUAGCACUAUUGAGAGUACUGAGAUGUCGAGAUGCGAGACUACUUUUUUUUUGUGACCAGAUAAGACAUUAUGUCUUUUAAAUAGUGAUACGAGUGAAUAAACCGAUGAUGGAGUUAGAGUGAUGAGAUUCGAGAAAUGAGCUGAGAUAGAGAUGCUGAUUGAAUUGAGUUAAGAUUUUAUUUUAUUUCCGACUACCGGGAAUAGAAUUACCGGAUAUUGAGUUAUCAGAGUUUGACUGUCCUAUUAAGAAAAUAGGAAUAAUGAGUUGGAAAUAGAGCCGAGGAAGAAAGAGUGAGAACCUUGAUGAAAAGAGUCGGUCCGAGAGACGUCUAGUUUGUUUGUUUUGCCGACUGCUUUGAUGUGACAUUAUGUGAAUUUACGUGACUGAUUGAUUAUGUGAUUUUCGUGAUGUGUGUCACUGUGACCGAGUUAUUAUGAUUUUUAUUUGAGACUUUAGCAUUUGAAAUUUUGAUUAAGUUUCCAAAGCAAGUAUGGUUUAUUUUUAUCGAGAAAUCGAAUGAUGCCGGUUUAUGAAAAUUUUUCUAAGCAUAAUUUUUUUAAAAUUAUUUUUCCUACGAAGAGGAAUAUUACAAUUGAGUGAGUGCACUAAUAAUAGUGCUAUAAUUAUUAUUUUGGUCACAUGAAUAAUUAUACUAUGGUAUUCUAUUAAUGAGUGACUUUUCCAUAGUUAUUGUGAUUUUUAUUUGAUCACCCUUCUCACACUUUAUUUUAAUUUCUCUACCAUAUGUUAUAUUCCUCAAAUUACUAAGUGUAGAGAUUGGGAGAGUAGAGAUUGAGAGUAUAUUAUUGAGAGAGUAGGGAUUUAGAGUGUAGAGAUUAGAGAGAGAGAAGUGUAGAGAUUAGAGUGAGAGAGAGAUUAGAGUGAGAGGGAUCAUGCUUUAAUUGCCAAAUAUUCCCUAAGAUUUACAAAUCUCUUUAAAGAUACACAAGAUCAAUUCAAAUCUUGCAAAGCUAAUUUCUCUCUCUCCCUCACUUGAAAUUUUCGACAACAUCACCUCUCUCCCUCACACACAUUUUCACCCAACACACACUAAUCUCCUUCAUCUCUCAUUUCCACCAUUUUCCUCCAUUGAUGAAAACCUUCGAAGCUUCCAACAAUAUUACCAAACACCUCAAACCACUCUAAUAUCUUCUAUAAACACAUUCUAGCCACUUUUAAUCAAGAGAAUCCUUGAAGAAGAAGCUCCAAAGUUAGAGUGAGAAAGUGAGAAUUUUGGUGAGAAUUUGGGUAAGUGGCCAUGUUUUUCUAUAAUUCUUGAUUGAAGGAUGUUGUGUGUGUGUAUUCUUGAAAGAUGAAGCAAGAAAAUUACCCCCUCCCUAUUUUCUAAAUUUUCGAAAAAGUGGGUCUCCACCCCUUCAAAAAUUUUCUUUUCUUUUCUUGAUUUGGGGUGAGAAAAAUGAGAGUUAUGUGAUGUGUAUUGAUGAUUGAGGUAUGUUGUGAAAUAUGUGCCGUGAGAUGUGAAACUUUGAUGGGAGUUAGUUUACCCAAAAGGGGAACUUUUGAGUCAAAGAGUUAAUAGAUAAAUUGAUGAUGUAAAUGAGUCUAUGAGAUGUAUAUGAUGAUGAUUGAUGGAGUAAUUUGAGUAUAUGAUGUCAAUUGAUGACUUUGACGUGAGUUAGUUUACUAAAAUUAGGGAUAUGUGUAUAUAUGCCCUUAUUUGUGAAUUGAUGGUUUAUAUGUGAGAUUAAUUGGUUAAAAAUGAAAGAUCUAUGAGUGGAUUAAAGAUUCAUAUGUGUUUAUAAAUUUUCAAAGAGUUUAGUUUAGUAAAAAUUAGGACUUUUUGGUCUAUGUGUUAUUUAAGUGAUUUUGCUUAAGAUAUAUGUUUUUAAGCAUGAUAGUAGUGUCUUUGUAUAUUUGAUUAAGUCUAUUGUAGGCUAAAUAAAAUUUUGGCUUAGUUUAGUUUGUAUGAGUUUUGAGUUCUUGUAUGAUGUGAGUUUGAUGCUUGAUAAAAUGAGGUCUAAUUGCUCUAUGAUCAUUAUGUGAACUUUAUCCAUGUUUUGUUGAGAGUUUUAUGUUGAUACAUGGAUUUUCAUUAAAAUAUAGUUUACAUGAUAAAAAGAGAAUGAAUAUGUGAAUAAUGAGUUAUAUGAUGUAAAAGAUCAUAUUUGAGUAUUUGAGUAAUUUUCGAGCAUGAAAUUGAAAAGAGAAUUUGUUUGAUGCGUUCGUUGAAGUGUUUUCUAUGAGAUUUGAGUUGAUGAUGAAAGAAAAGAGUCGAGAUUGAGUAUUAUGAGUAUUUUGUUGUAUUUGAAUGUUUUUAAGUGCUAUAAGUGCUUAAAAUGAGCUUUGAUGAGUUUGCUUUGAAGAAAUGUUGAGUUGAGCAUGUUUGCUUGUGUGUAUGUUUCGGAGUCGUUUUUCACGACGCACUGACCUACUGUUUGCGAGGGGUUUUUGAUACCCAAACACCAUGAAAAUUGUAUGGUAAGUAGAUGUGAGAGUGUUGAGCAUACCGAUAAAAUUUCAAGUCAUUUGGACUUCGUUUGCAAUUUUUAUAAAAUGUAAAACUAAAACUGCUACGUUCUGCCGAAUUGUUCGGUGAGUAGCCAAUAGAGUCAUCGUUUCAAGUAGUAUUCCUUAGCAUUCGGGAACCCAAAUUUUUAUGGUUGGGACCUGAGUGUCUUAGCUAAGUACCCACCAAAGUUCAGACCUUUCUGACAACGUUUACUAUUUUUCAAAAAUCAAACGUUUCGGUUGCUAAAAACUGCCAAAUAUGGUAGACUGUAGUAAAACAGUCAUAUCUCCUAAAAUACUUGGAGUUUUUGAUCCUACUUUUUUUUAAAUGAAACUAGACUCAAAGAGGUUUCGUUUGGUAUAAGUUAAGACCCUAGGGGAGUUCUGUACAGAGUCUGGUGAGGUUUUAAAGUUGAGUCCGUGCAGAGUGAAGUUUAUUUUUGACUUGUCUAUGUGUGUUUUUCAUAUGCUUAAGUGUUUAUACUUGUUUAAGUGCUUGAUUGCUAUGGGUUUGAGCCGAGUCGAGAGUUAAGUCGAAAAUAGGACGUGUGAAUCCUUAGAAGCCGAGUAUACCUAGGGAUUGAGUUUUAAUGGGUAAACAGACGUUGAGUGAGAAGUUAUAAUUAAGAUGAGUUUGGAUUUAGAAAUUGAGUUUCUGACUAAGGUUUGUUUUAUCACAUGAACCUUCGAUGACGAUGACGAUGUGAUGAUGACAUAUGAAGGCCCGAGCGAGACGAAGAAGUAAGUUGCCU
rnacentral:lncRNA from 1 species